GGUUUGAUCAUGGCCUGAUUGAACGCUGGCGGGAUGUUUACACAUGCAAGUCAGAACGGCAGCACGGACUUGGUCUGGUGGCGAGCGGGCGAACGGGUGAGUAGCCAUCGGAACGCCUAGUAGCGGGGGAUAACUACGCGAAAGCGUAGCCAUCACCGCAUGUCACCCUUCAGUAAGCGGGGACCUUCGGGCCCGCAUAAUAGAGCGCACGAUAUCGGAUUAGCUAGUUGGUGGGGUAACGGCUCACUAAGGCGACGAUCCGUAGCUGGUUUGAGGGCGACCAGCCACACUGGGACUGAGACACGGCCCAGACUCCCACGGAGGCAGCAGGGAAUUUUGACAAUGGGGGAAACCCUGCGACAGCCAUCCCGCGUGUGCGUGAUGAAGGCCUUCGGGUUGUAAAGCACUUUUGGCAGGAAAGAAACGGCACGGGUGGGAUAAUACCCUGCAGCAAUAUUGACGGUACCUGCAGAAUAAGCACCGGCUAACCAUGCGCUUGUAGCCGCGGUAAUACGGUAAGCGUUAAUCUGAAUUUACGGCGGGCGCGUAGCAGGCGGUUCGGAAAAAGAAAGAUGUGAAAUCCCAGAGCUUAACUUUGAACUGCAUUUAACUACCGCUAUGGAGUGGUUUGAGGAGGUGGAAUUCCGCGUAGCAGUGAAAUGCGUGUAGAUAUGCGGAGGAACACCGAUGGUGAAGGCAGCCUCCUGGGGAUAACACUGACGCUCAUGCACGAAAGCGUGGGGAGCAAACAGAUUAGAUACUCCUGGUAGUCCACGCCCUAAACGAUGUCAACUAGCCGUUGGGGCCUUCGGGCCUUCGGUAGCGCAGCUAACGCGUGAAGUUGACCGCCUGGGGAGUACGGUCGCAAGAUUAAAACUCAAAGGAAUUGACGGGGACCCGCACAAGCGGUGGAUGAUGUGGAUUAAUUGAUGCAACGCGAAAAGCCUUACCUACCUUGACAUGUCUGGAAUCCCGAAGAUUUGGGAGUGCCUGGCAAGAGAACCGGAACACAGGCGCUGCAUGGCUGUCGUCAGUUUGUGGGCGCCCAGAGAUGUUGGGUUAAGUCCCGGCAACGAGCGCAACCCCUGUCAUUAGUUGCUACGAAAGGGCACUCUAAUGAGACUGCCGGUGACAAACCGGAGGAAGGUGGGGAUGACGUCAAGUCCUCAUGGCCUCCUUAUGGGUAGGGCUUCACACGUCAUACAAUGGUCGGGACAGAGGUCGCCAACCCGCGAGGGGGAGCCAAUCCCAGAAACCCGAUCGUAGUCCGGAUCGCAGUCUGCAACUCGACUGGGUGCGUGAAGUCGGAAUCACAGGUAAUCGCGGAUCAGCAUGCGGCAGGAACAAUACUGUUCCCGGGUCUGUACACACCGCCCGUCACACCAUGGGAUGGGUUUUACCAGAAGCAGUUAGCCUAACCGCGAGGGCGAUUACCACGGUAGGAUUCAUGACUGGGGUGAAGUCGUAACAAGGUAG
rnacentral:rRNA from 1 species